AUUGAACGCUGGCGGCAGGCCUAACACAUGCAAGUCGAACGCGUGGCGGACGGGUGAGUAAUGUCUGGGAAACUGCCUGAUGGAGGGGGAUAUCUACUGGAAACGGUAGCUAAUACCGCAUACCCUCAGAUGUGCCCAGAUGGGAUUAGCUUGUAGGUGGGGUAAUGGCUCACCGAGGCGACGAUCCCUAGCUGGUCUGAGAGGAUGACCAGCCACACUGGCACUGAGACACGGUCCAGACUCCUACGGGAGGCAGCAGUGGGGAAUAUUGCACAAUGGGCGCAAACCUGAUGCAGCCAUGCCGCGUGUAUGAAGAAGGCCUUCGGGUUGUAAAGUACUUUCAGCGGGGAGGCGUUACCCGCAGAAGAAGCACAGGCUAACUCCGUGCCAGCAGCCGCGGUAAUUC
rnacentral:rRNA from 1 species